rnacentral:rRNA from 1 species
UCCACGCUGUAAACGAUGUCGAUUUGGAGGUUGUGCCCUGAGGCGUGGCUUCCGGAGCUAACGCGUUAAAUCGACCGCCUGGGGAGUACGGCCGCAAGGUUAAAACUCAAAUGAAUUGACGGGGGCCCGCACAAGCGGUGGAGCAUGUGGUUUAAUUCGAUGCAACGCGAAGAACCUUACCUACUCUUGACAUCCAGAGAACUUUCCAGAGAUGGAUUGGUGCCUUCGGGAACUCUGAGACAGGUGCUGCAUGGCUGUCGUCAGCCCGUGUUGUGAAAUGUUGGGUUAAGUCCCGCAACGAGCGCAACCCUUAUCCUUUGUUGCCAGCGGUUCGGCCGGGAACUCAAAGGAGACUGCCAGUGAUAAACUGGAGGAAGGUGGGGAUGACGUCAAGUCAUCAUGGCCCUUACGAGUAGGGCUACACACGUGCUACAAUGGCGUAUACAAAGAGAAGCGACCUCGCGAGAGCAAGCGGACCUCAUAAAGUACGUCGUAGUCCGGAUUGGAGUCUGCAACUCGACUCCAUGAGGUCGGAAUCGCUAGUAAUCGUAGAUCAGAAUGCUACGGUGAAUACGUUCCCGGGCCUUGUACACACCGCCCGUCACACCAUGGGAGUGGGUUGCAAAAGAAGUAGGUAGCUUAACCUUCGGGAGGGCGCUUACCACUUUGUGAUUCAUGACUGGGGUGAAGUCGUAACAAGGUAACCA